GACAGGUGGUGCAUGGUUGUCGUCAGCUCGUGUCGUGAGAUGUUGGUUAAGUCCGCAACGAGCGCAACCCUACGGUUAGUUGCUAACGGGUAAGGCCGAGCACUUUAGCCGAACUGCCGUUGACAAAACGGAGGAAGGCGGGAUGACGUCAAAUCAUCAUGCCCUUCAUGUCCUGGGCUACACACGUGCUACAAUGGCCUGUACAAAGGGCAGCAAAGGGGCAACCCGGAGCAAAUCCCAAAAAACAGGUCUCAGUUCGGAUUGCAGGCUGCAACUCGCCUGCAUGAAGUCGGAAUCGCUAGUAAUCGCAGGUCAGCAUACUGCGGUGAAUACGUUCCCGGGCCUU
rnacentral:rRNA from 1 species